rnacentral:sRNA from 1 species
CCCCUCAGCAUGCGACUUCAAGAACUAUCA